rnacentral:rRNA from 1 species
UACGUAGGGUGCAAGCGUUGUCCGGAAUUAUUGGGCGUAAAGAGCUCGUAGGCGGUUUGUCGCGUCUGCUGUGAAAACUCGGGGCUUAACUCCGGGCCUGCAGUGGGUACGGGCAGACUAGAGUGCGGUAGGGGAGACUGGAAUUCCUGGUGUAGCGGUGAAAUGCGCAGAUAUCAGGGGGAACACCGGUGGCGAAGGCGGGUCUCUGGGCCGAUACUGACGCUGAGGAGCGAAAGCGUGGGGAGCGAACAGG